rnacentral:misc_RNA from 1 species
GAUGAAGAACGUAGCGAAAUGCGAUACUUGGUGUGAAUUGCAGAAUCCCGUGAACCAUCGAGUCUUUGAACGCAAGUUGCGCCCGAAGCCACUAGCCCGAGGGCACGCCUGCCUGGGCGUCACACGCCGUUGCCCCCCCAUCUACUCCUUCGGGAUUGCGGUGGGGCGGAUGAUGGCCUCCUGUGCGCCUAGCCGCGCGGUUGGCAUAAAUACCAAGUCCUCGGCGACGCACGCCACGACAAUCGGUGGUUGCGAAACCUCGGUUGCCCGUCGUGUGCGUUCGUCGCGCAUCGAGGGCUCGAAAAAAUGCUCGGCUCCGGCUGGGCUUUCAACGCGACCCCAGGUCAGGCGGGGUUACCCGCUGAAUUUAAGCAUAUCAAUAAGCGGAGGA